rnacentral:rRNA from 1 species
AGUGAACGCUGGCGGUAGGCCUAACACAUGCAAGUCGAACGGCAGCACAGUAAGAGCUUGCUCUUACGGGUGGCGAGUGGCGGACGGGUGAGGAAUACAUCGGAAUCUACUUUUUCGUGGGGGAUAACGUAGGGAAACUUACGCUAAUACCGCAUACGACCUACGGAUGAAAGCAGGGGAUCUUCGGACCUUGCGCGAUUGAAUGAGCCGAUGUCGGAUUAGCUAGUUGGCGGGGUAAAGGCCCACCAAGGCGACGAUCCGUAGCUGGUCUGAGAGGAUGAUCAGCCACACUGGAACUGAGACACGGUCCAGACUCCUACGGGAGGCAGCAGUGGGGAAUAUUGGACAAUGGGCGCAAGCCUGAUCCAGCCAUACCGCGUGGGUGAAGAAGGCCUUCGGGUUGUAAAACCCUUUUGUUGGGAAAGAAAAGCAGCAGGUUAAUACCCCGCUGUUCUGACGGUACCCAAAGAAUAAGCACCGGCUAACUUCGUG